rnacentral:rRNA from 1 species
GGCAAACGGGUGAUUAACACGUGGGUAACGUACCUUGAGGAGGGAGAUAGGUUUGGGAAACCAAGCGUAAUAUCCCAUUGUUCCAGAUGCUGAAAUGCAUUUGGAUAAAGAUGGCCUCUAUUUAUAAGCUAUCGCCACAAGAGCGGCCCGCGGCCUAUCAGGUAGUUGGUGAGGUAAUGGCCCACCAAGCCUAAGACGGGUAGCUGGUCUAAAAGGAUGGUCAGCCACAUCGGAACUGAGACACUGUCCGGACUCCUACGGGAGGCUGCAGUCGAGAAUCUUUCUCAAUGGACGAAAGUCUGAAGAUGCGACGCCGCGUGAGGGAUGAAGGCCUUCGGGUCGUAAACCUCUUUUGUUAGGGAGGAAACGCAAGCGGUGAACAAUCGGUUGCACUGACUGUACCUGACGAAUAAGCCACGGCUAACUCCGUGCCAGCAGCCGCGGUAAUACGGAGGUGGCGAGCGUUACUCGGUUUGACUAGGUGUAAAGGGUCCGUAGGUGGCCUUGUAAGUGGAAGGUGAAAUGCUUUAGCUCAACUAAAGAAUUGCCUUUCAAACUGCUUGGCUAGAGGUUGGGAGGGGAUAGCGGA